CUACCCUUGACAUGGCAGGAAUCCCGAAGAGAUUUGGGAGUGCUCGCAAGAGAACCUGCACACAGGUGCUGCAUGGCUGUCGUCAGCUCGUGUCGUGAGAUGUUGGGUUAAGUCCCGCAACGAGCGCAACCCUUGUCAUUAGUUGCUACGAAAGGGCACUCUAAUGAGACUGCCGGUGACAAACCGGAGGAAGGUGGGGAUGACGUCAGGUCUUCAUGGCCCUUAUGGGUAGGGCUACGCACGUCAUACAAUGGCCGGUACAGAGGGCUGCCAACCCGCGAGGGGGAGCCAAUCCCAGAAAACCGGUCGUAGUCCGGAUCGCAGUCUGCAACUCGACUGCGUGAAGUCGGAAUCGCUAGUAAUCGCGGAUCAGCUUGCCGCGGUGAAUA
rnacentral:rRNA from 1 species